GAAAUCCUGGGCAACCGGGAGAGUAAAGUGGCGCACGGGUGAGUAACGCGUGGGUAACCUGCCCUUGAAUUGGGGAUAACUCUUCGAAAGGGGAGUUAAUACCGAAUAAUAUUCCAGCUUCUACGGGAGUUGGAAUCGAAGGUGGCCUCUACAUGUAAGCUAUCGUUCAAGGAUGGGCCCGCGCACCAUUAGCUAGUUGGUAGGGUAAUGGCCUACCAAGGCAAAGAUGGUUAGUUGGUCUGAGAGGAUGAUCAGCCACACUGGGACUGAGACACGGCCCAGACUCCUACGGGAGGCAGCAGUGGGGCAGUUGGCUCAUAACGAACGCUGGC
rnacentral:sRNA from 1 species